AUUGAACGCUGGCGGCAGGCCUAACACAUGCAAGUCGAACGAGUGGCGGACGGGUGAGUAAUGUCUGGGAAACUGCCUGAUGGAGGGGGAUAACUACUGGAAACGGUAGCUAAUACCGCAUACCAUCACCUGUGCCCAGCUGGGAUUAGCUUGUUGGUGGGUUAACGGCUCACCACUGCGACGAGCCCUAGCUGGUCUGAGAGGAUGACCAGCCACACUGGAUAUGAGACACGGUCCAGACGCCGAGGGGAGGCAGCAGGGGGGAAGAUUGCAAAAUGGGGGCAAGCCUGAGGCAGCCAUGCCGCGUGUAUGAAGAAGGCCUUCGGGUUGGAAAGUACUUUCAGCGGGGAGGCGUUACCCGCAGAAGAAGCACCGGCUAACUCCGUGCCAGCAGCGCGGUAAUAC
rnacentral:rRNA from 1 species